rnacentral:rRNA from 1 species
AUUCCUACGGGAGGCAGCAGUGGGGAAUAUUGCACAAUGGGCGCAAGCCUGAUGCAGCCAUGCCGCGUGUGUGAAGAAGGCCUUCGGGUUGUAAAGCACUUUCAGCGAGGAGGAAAGGUCAGUAGCUAAUAUCUGCUGGCUGUGACGUUACUCGCAGAAGAAGCACCGGCUAACUCCGUGCCAGCAGCCGCGGUAAUACGGAGGGUGCAAGCGUUAAUCGGAAUUACUGGGCGUAAAGCGCACGCAGGCGGUUGGAUAAGUUAGAUGUGAAAGCCCCGGGCUCAACCUGGGAAUUGCAUGUAAAACUGUCCAGCUAGAGUCUUGUAGAGGGGGGUAGAAUUCCAGGUGUAGCGGUGAAAUGCGUAGAGAUCUGGAGGAAUACCGGUGGCGAAGGCGGCCCCCUGGACAAAGACUGACGCUCAGGUGCGAAAGCGUGGGGAGCAAACAGGAUUAGAUACCCCGGUAGUCAA